CUGAACGAAAAUGUCAUGCCCACGGUUCAUCGCCCCCCUGCCAGUUGUACGGCAGGCACGGAUAAUGCGUUUGGUGCGAGUUCUUUUGUUAGUUUUGCAAAUGAUCGGCCACUCGCAGUUGAAAAGCGUUCAACGGUAAACGGUCGCCAUUUUACGCAAGCAAAAGUUAUCAUUGCAAUCGUGCCUUGUAGGUGGCAAUAAAGCGCACAAAAUGGAAGACGCGAUGGAAGCAUUGAAAAUAGCUGCAAUCGAUGCAGACGGAACUGCGUUUAAAGCUACAAAUGAAAAUAGUGAAUGUGACCAGUUGACAGUACCAGCGGUCGACAUGAAACCAGAGAUCUUUGUUGAUGAAACCGGCGCUAUGGAUGCUGAUGAAACCGAUGAAUCUUCGGAAGACGAAGACAAUGAUGUCAAAGAUGAAAAGGUGCAACGAGAGACGUUGCAAGAAAACCUUCGUAAUUGGGCCCUAAGUAACAAGGCGUCUAACGCCUGCAUCGAUAGCUUGUUGCGUCUCAUGCGAAACAAUCGCCUUUUUAUCGAUGUGCCGGAUUCGGCAAGCGAGUUACUAGCGAGCCCCGAGCAGCCAAAGAAAUAGUUGACCGCGGCUCCUGGUUGACCGAGUGAAUAUGUACCGCAGAAAAUUGUAGAUGCAGCCAGCUUACAGAAUUAAUCUGUAAAUCAUUUGCAUUAGCAGGUCUAAUGUUGCAUUUCUCACAAGGAUGCAAGAAGGAUAUUUAAUUCGAAUUCGAUCUUACACCAAAGCUAGAUACAAAGAGUGAAAAUCUCAGCGUUUGUGAAUAUAGCCUGCCUUACAUGGGUCGCAAAUAGUUGAUGCAUAUGUUUUGUCAUACUCCAGAAGGAAGCUCCCCACUUACCGGGUAGGAACAAAGCCUUUCGUAUAAAUGAAUUGUAUAAAUUGAAUUAAUAUCGAGCAUAAUAAUGAAAUUACUACAUGGCUUGUAAUAAUACAAAUACAUCGCACCACUUUUAUGGAAGAAUAUGAGAUUCUGUAGAGA